CUCUUGCUUACUAUUGGUCGUUAGAUGUCGUUCAGCCACGGAGCAUGCGUACUGGGAGGGAUAUCCGGAAUGAAAUGGGCCUCUAUGUAAGCCACAAGCGGGCAUUCAACAACUUGAAAACUGGAUUGAAAAUGAGAGACAGAGCGGCCACUCCAGAAACUUUCAAAAUCACGCUGCACCUUCUUGAUCUGCUGCAAUCCACGUGGUGAAGUAGCUCCCAUGUUGCUGUUUGGGAAUUGGAAAGGAACAUUUACUGACAGGCUGCUCAACUCAAACACUGGAUCAAGAACUGCCAGGAACACUUAAUUCCCAGGAGCUUUGAAUAUGGAAGGAACAAGUGUCAUUCACAGUGAAGAGAAACCAUACACGUGGUCUGUGUGGACAAGCCUUCAGUCAAUUGUCUGGCCUGUCAGUACGUAAAUGCAGUCAAAACUGGGUGACAACCAUAACAUCAAACAGCUCUUGCUUUAUAAUAUCAUGGUCAUGGAUCUCAGUUUGAGUUAAGCAAGGGCCACUCAUCUCCUGUCCUCCCUACAUUCUAAGUGCAAACAUGGACCAAACAGCUGAAUUCCAAAUGUGAGAGGGACUAUCCACUAUCUUAAGGCUCCAUUUGACAGAGCAUUGUAUGAAGGAAUCAUGACAAAGCGAAGUUCAAUAAGAACCAGAGAAUAUUAUUCUUCCUUGUAUAGCUGGUUUUUGAAAAGAUUGCAUCUUCAGACCUCAGUAAAUCAAAACAAGGUGUAUUUAUUCAAACUAGUACCACAUACAUGUGGAAGAGGUCUGUAAGUUUAGCUUGGAGACACUACAACUUUUACAGCUCAAAACAGCAAUAUGAAGGCAUUUUCAUGUAAGAAUGGUUGCAUAUGA